GUUUAUUUUUAUCCCCACUGCCAGCGUCAUCACAGCGUGUGUGAUCCAAAUUUACACUCCUCAUAUACACAGCAUGUGGCCCUGCUGCCGAACCAGCUGCUUUCCCCAAGGCUGAAGUAUGGUUAAGUUUCAUGUUUUGCCUCAUCAAAAAGGUGAUAGCAAAAACAUAUGAGUGAAACCUACACUCCCGGUAGCUUACUAAACAAAUUUGAAAUGUGUUCCAAACGUGUGAUUUGUUGUUCGGUGGGAGCCCGGGACUGAGAAUGUGUGUGUGUGGACGUGUGUGGAUGUGUCAUAGCUGUUGCAGACACACUGACGACUCUAAAUAUGCUCUCCCUCCUUACUAAUAGCAGAAACUGGCCUUCUGGGGCAGCAAUGCGUUCGGCUCAAAGAUCAAGUUUCCCUUAAGGUAGGUGUGGCCGUGUGAGCAGGUUCUGACUGACUGGACUGGGUCAGAGUAUUCUGUGGGACUUCCAGGAAGCCUUCUGAAAAGGGAGGGAGGACACUUGCUCUUGCCAUCUCCCUGCUGGCUGGGAAGCUGAUAAGAGUCUAGCGCCCCAAUUAGCCAUCCUGGAUGCCGAGGUGACCUUGAAGACAGAGCUGAGAACUGAGAUGUGGAGCAGGAAGAGAGGAGGUGCCUCAGUCCCUGAAGAUUUUGCUGAGUUGUCACACCAGCCCUGACCUGCCUCCUCUGGUUUUUCCUUAUUGAGAGAAACCACCUUUGUGUUUGGGUCAUUAUUUUUGGUGUCUCUGUCACGAGUAGCCACGUGCAAUUUCUAACUGAUAUCGUAUCAACCUGAGGUUUAACAUUUACAAGGCCUGAUUCAAUGGCUGAGUAAGCACAGAGUCUGUGUGCAAAAGGCUAUCUGUUAAUGUCCCUUGGGGAAUUAUUUCAGUUACCAAUCAUCUCCGAGUUCAUACUUUAAUGUAAGAAUACUCAUUUUAAUUCCUCUUUGUGUUGGAAUGAUAAGGUCUCUAGAAAAGUAUUGACUGAGCUUGGUUGUCCUACUUGACAUUCAGUCUAUGCAACGUGAAUGUGUUACGUUUCUUUAUUCAUUUGGGAAAUAUUUACUCAGUACAUGUUACGUGCAAGGCACAGCUUCAGAUAUUGGUGAUGGUCCAGGGGUGGUUACAUAAAGAAAAAUGAGAGGAAGACUCUGACUUCGAACUGACUAGGAAAGGAGAGAAUUAAUAAAUAGUAAUAACAGCCAAUGUUUGCUGAGCACUGUCAGCUGUGCUAUUUCACAUAUAUUAUCUCAUUUAAUAUUGACAGCAAUCUUUUGAUCUAUGCAGGUUCUAUUAUUUUUCUCAUUAUACAGGCAAGGAUCUAAAGGUACAAGGACAUUUGGUAACUUGUACAAAGUCAUCAUGAGUGAUGAAACUGGAAUUUGCAAACAGUAUUUGUGUGCUCUUAAUCUCUAUGCAAUCUCUAUGCAAUGAGCCCAUUUUAUGUGCAAGGCUCUACAUCAUGUUGUAGGGCAGCCAGUCUCAAUCGUGGUCCUGGGUCCAGCAGCUGCAGUGUCACCUGGGAAAUCCUAGAAAUGCAAAUCACUGGCUUUCCCACAGACCUGCUGCAUCAGAAACUCUGGGAAGGGGCCCAGCAAUCUGGGUUUUCAGAAGACUUCCAGGUGAUUCUGAUGCCUGCUGAAGUUUGAGAACCACCGUGGUAGGGGAUGAAUAGAUAAGUGAGACUCAUUUAAGUUUGGAAGAGGAUCAAGCAGGUAUAAAAAUAACUAUAACUCAAGGCAGAUAAGAUAACAUGCAGAAAGGAGGACUAGCGUCCUACUGAGUUUGAGUUUGCUACCAGAUUUUCUAAUUUUUCAAGAGAAGCUGGAAUCCAGAUUUUAAUGGCAAGUCUCUCAACUUUACAAAUUGGAACCAAAAUAAUGUUUUAAAAGAAAUAAACAGGCAAAAUAAAACCUGUCUGCAAAGCGGGCAGCAGCCUUUGAGCCCUACUGAGGGCAGUGGAGCUGCUUGGGGGCUUUCAGUAGUCCGCCCAGAGCAGCCCGGGAGUUAACUGAAAGGCACUGGGGGAACUGGACUAGAGUAGUAAGAGCCUAGCUCACUGUAUUAGUCUGCGAGGGCUGCAAAGUACCACAACCAGAGGGACUUAAUCAACAGAAAUUGAUCUUUUCACAGUUUUGGAGGAGAGAAACAUAAAAUCAAGGUGUGGGCAGGCUUAGUUUCUCCUGAGGGCUCUGAGGGAGAAUCUGUUCUUUGCUGUCUUAGAUUCUAGUAGCCCCAGGCAUUCCUUGGUUUGUAGUUGCAAACUAACUCUCCAUCUUCAAAUGGCUGCCUUCUUCUAAGGACACCAGUCAUAUUGGAUAGGAGCCCAGUCUACUCCCAGUACAGCCUCAUCUUAACUAAUUACAUCGAUGACUCUAUUUCUAAGUAAGGUCACAUAUUGAGAUAGUGGGGUUAGGAUUUCAACAUGUAUCUUUGGGGUGGGGGUGUGUGACACAAUUAAAUCCAUAACAUUCACUUUUAGGUAGCAUAAUUCAAUAGUUAAGCUCUUUGUUUUCUUCAUAAGUGGAGGCUAAUUCCUUAAUUUUUUCAUUAUCCCUUUCUAUGGGAAUAGUUAACAGGAUAUGACACACCUUAAUGAAAUGUUGUAGUCGAUGUGUAGAUAUUCAAAUUCUUUAAAGUCAAUUGAAAUAUCAACAAACUAAGACAUGGAGCUAGUGGUAAAGCAAAUGACCUUGCCUUAUGUGAAGCAGAACACACAAAACAGAGCUCAUUUAGAAGAUACUUGAGAUACUUGUGAUUUUUGAGCACUUUGAUGAAGAAAGGCUACUUUGAUAGAAACCCAAAUAUUCUUUUUGGCUUAAGGUGAGGCCAUAGCCCAAUGAUUUUAAAGGGCCCCAAUCAACACUUUCAGUAUUUGAUUAGGGUCUGGCUAGACACUGAAAUGUGGUGAGUUUUAGAUAUGGGAUGAUAAAUCUAGAAAAAUUUAGGGGCAUACAGGCAAGAAAGGUUCUACUUCUCUAUGUGAUUUGUACCCCAAAUCUAAUAGGCAAGUCUGACACAAAGAUCAAAAGACAAGCUCAUAUGUUCUGAGAAGUUCCUCACUCCUCAAAAGCUAGAAAUUUUUUUUUAAUUCUAAUUUUACCUUACUUUAAGGCACAAUCUCCAAUUGCAUACUUUUAGAUUUUUGCAGAUUUUUUCCUUGUCUUUUGUGUGCACCUGCAAGCAUAUGUUUUAUAUAAUUGAAUCCAAAGUGAACCAGCUUAAAACUAAUGUUUGAAUUGACAUUAAUGAUUUACUCCUUUUGGCUUUCUGAGGAUUUCUAUUCCUCCUUUGAUUGUAUUAAAUUUUUUAGCACUACCCACACUUUCAUUUUUUUCAUUUUCUAAUAUUUUUGUUUAAAAUAACAUAGGCAAAAAGCAUAAGAAAGGUUUAGUUUCACCUCCCUCCCUGCUUUUUUUUUUUUUUUUGGCUGAAGAAUCGUUGUUCUAAUUAAUCCAAAAAGGGGUUGAGGAGAUACUUUCUAGGGACUCCACCUGGGACCAUCAUUUGAAAAUCACUCCAAUGAAAUAUUUGCAGAAAGAAAUGCUGAAGUCCUAAUAAAAUGGUUAUGUUGCCAAUUGUUGGCUGAAAGAGCAGCAUGGUGUUGUAGCUUGAGCUAUCACUUACACUGGGGGAAGCAAGCCCUCUUGUGAGCAAUCUCAUGCAGAGGCCCACAUGGUAAGGAAAUAAAGCUUCUAACUAACAUCAGCAAGGAACCAAGACCUGUCAAACACCAUGUGCAUGUACUUGAAAUGGAUCUUGACCUUUCAGGUGACUGCAGCCCUGGCUGACAGCUUGACUGUAAUUUCAAGAGCAACUCUGGGCCAGAACACCAGGUCUCAUUUUUUUUUCAAAGCAUCAAUGUGCCCAGAAUAAAGACAAAACCAACGAACUAACCAAGCAAACCAACUAAACAGAAGUUACCCAAAAAGAAAGGUGAGACUCAAUUUACAGAAUCACCUUGGCCCUUGGCUCCUGAAACACAACAUAAAACAAAAUGCUUUUUAAAGUUGUAUUUCAGACCCAUACUUAAAACAACAACAAACAUUUUAAAUUCCUUCUCUGGGGUGCUUCAAGUGAUGAGGAAAUCAUCAGAAACUAUUUCAACAGUUUGACCCUUCUCGUCCCCACCCCAGGAACCAGACUGCUGGACUUGGCUGAGGAUAAAUGGAACUUGAGUUUCAAAACCUUCCUACCAGAUAAAGUUUCAAAUUUGUUGCCUUUGAAGACUGUGAAGAUGUGAAAUGUAGCAAACUGAAUCGAACAUUUACCAACAGUUGUUUGGAGAAUUCUCUCACCUUCUUGGGCAAGAAACUGUUUACAGCCAUGACUGUAAGAGCCCUCCUUUUUAUUCUUCUCAGUAACUGGGGCUGCCUGGUAUCUGAAGCUCUCUUAUCUACCCAGACAUUCUUUGAUCCACCCACCUUAAACAGAACAGGAAAAAGGUUUUGUUUUGAUUUUGUUUUUAAUCAUUGUCAUGCUUUAAAUGGAAAAAUGUUAGGUUGGGUAUUAGACUACACAAAUUAAAAACAUCUAAAAACAACACCUCAGAAUGUGUUGUUUAUAAUCUAAUGUAGAAAUGAAUAAAAAGUGAAUUCAAUCUUGGGUU